rnacentral:rRNA from 1 species
CCUACGGGUGGCAGCAGUGAGGAAUAUUGGUCAAUGGGCUUACGCCUGAACCAGCCAAGUCGCGUGAGGGAAGACUGCCCUAUGGGUUGUAAACCUCUUUUGUCAGGGAGCAACGCCGGCUACGUGUAGCCGGACUGAGAGUACCUGAAGAAAAAGCAUCGGCUAACUCCGUGCCAGCAGCCGCGGUAAUACGUAGGUGGCAAGCGUUAUCCGGAUUUACUGGGUGGAAAGGGAGCGCAGACGGCUGUGCAAGUCUGGAGUGAAAGGCGGGGGCGCAACCCCCGGACUGCUGUUGAAACUGUAAAGCUGGAGUGCAGGAGAGGUAAGCGGAAUUCCUAGUGUAGCGGUGAAAUGCGUAGAUAUUAGGAGGAACACCAGUGGCGAAGGCGGCUUACUGGACUGCAACUGACGUUGAGGCUCGAAAGCGUGGGGAGCAAACAGGAUUAGAUACCCUUGUAGUC